GUGAACGCCUCCCCACGGCACCCCCUCCCUGCAAGCCCCCGCCUGUUUACUGGAAGACUCGACCCUGUGUUCUACAUUCUGAGCACUGAGAGGUUUCAUCACUGGCUCAAGGCAAGACAGAGAAGCUGGGUGUCGAGUCCAGUAAAGCACACGUGUGGUUUGGGCCAGCAAGUAGUCCGUUUCCAACCUCUGCUAAAGGAAGUGACAGUCUACUGAGGGGAGCAAGACAAGUAAAUAUGCCGUUACCACAGAGGCGAUAAGGGUGGUGACCAAGGUGUCUGGCACUGUUGUUAACAACCGUACGGGCAUCACCUCACCUAACCAGCACAAUAACCCUAUAAAUCGGGUACCUUUGUUCCUCUCAUGUCUCAGAAGAGACUGAGGCACAGAGAGAGUGAAGUAACUUGCCGCAGGGCACACCAUCAACACGUGCCAUGUGAUCCCCCAUGCAGGCUGUGAAGCCAGACUCCAGAAGAUUCCGUGGAAUAGCAGGACAUGUCCAAAGACGGCUGGGCACGUUAAUAGACCUGAGGUGGGCCACUGCAGCUCCAGCUUGAGAUGUGUUUAUAACGCAAGACAAGGAAGUGCAUUGCGGGCCAGGACCCAGGAGGCCGCGGGGGUAAAACUCACCCCUGCCCAGGAGCCUGGACUCUUUCUUGAAGACUAGAGCGAAAUGCGAGAAGAUUUAAAGAUCAGCACAACACCCCCCCCCCAGUUCCCUCCCUCUGUUUUAUGGAAGAGAAAACUGAGGCCUAGAGCACUUCCCUCACUUACCUGAGCCCCCCACACCACCACGUCCCAGCUCUGGGGCCAAAGCCGGGCUCCCAACUCAGACGGGACAGGGCCCCGCCUUAGGGAGUGCUGAGUGGGAAAGGAGAGGGCCCAGAACCGUGGGUUUCAAAACUUUACACCGAAGAUUAAAGAGUUAUCUGAACAAGAGAAGUUAAUCUGCUCGGGUUCUGUUCCCUCGCACGCCCUGGGUGGACCCGAGUUGUUCUUUUGGCCUCACCCUCCCCACCCACCGGCCUCUUGUGAAGGGAGAGCCUUUACAAGAAGAUGACUCUUCCUUAGAAAUCCUGGGUCUGGGCUUCCUCCGGGCCCAGCAACUAAAGAAGGGCGGCGGAUCAGAUGGGCUGAAGCCAGCCCUUUGAAACCACCCCUGGGUGGUAAGUAAAAUCCCUGGAAACCCAAGCAGCCUGAUCUUUGAGAGGCCUGCCAGGGUGUAGCUGGGCAGGCGGGCAGAAGACUGACGGCCCUUCAGAGAUGAUUCCUAUCUCUGCUCCCUGGGUUCAUGCCCGCCGCUGAUAGAUUGAUUCAUGUGCAACUGGGAGGGCAAUCCAGCCCAGACGUUUAGAGUGUGUCUUGUCCCAGCUUGAUUGCAGGGCGGAGCGGUCUCACUGGGCUCAGAGCUCAGGGCUGGUGCAUCUGCGCUAAUUUGCAUGGACAGAUUCAAAGCACCUGGUUGGCUCAGGGGGGUAGGGAGAUCCUCCGUGUGUAUUACAGAGUGCCCCGCGUGACUCACAGUGGGCACUGUUCUAGAACCCAUGCGCAGGCGGUAUCCCUGGUCUCAUGGGACUCGUAUUCUAGUAGAGGGGACAAAAACAAUGAAUGGACGAGUAAUAAAACAAAUAAUUUCAGAGACAGUGGAGUAGGUGACUCUAGACCAGAAUUUCGCAACGUUGGCACUAUUGCCAUUUUAGGCUGGAUAAUUCUUGGUUGUGAGGGGCUGUCCUACGCAUUGUAGGACACUUAGCAUCUCUGGCCUCUGCCCGUUGGACGCGAGCCACAACACCCUGAGAUAUGACACCUAAAGAUCUCUCCAGACAUUGCCAAAUAUCCCCUGGGGGUAACGUCGCCCCUGCCUGAUUGACAACCCCUGCUCUAGACCAGCACUCUUCAGUGAAAAUAUAAUGCAGGCCACAUGCACAAUUUAAAAUUUUCUAGUACUCACAUGAAAAAAGUAAAAAAGACACAGGUGAAAUAAAUUUUACAAUAUAUUUAAUUGUACCCGGUACAUCUAAAAUAUUAUCAUUUUAUUGUAAUUAAUAUAAAAAGGUUUUAGAGAGAUAUUUUACAUCACUUUUUUUCUCACUAAAUCUUCGAAAUCUGGUGUA